AUUUCCUCUUCUUUUCUCCUCUCUCUCCGCGUCUGUAUUUGCCUUUUUCCAUCUCUCUAUCUCACUAAAAGCCAGUUGAGCCCGGCACUGUUCAGCAAUAGUAAAAGGGCAUAAAUGCCCCUAAUUUCUUCUCAACUUACCGUGCUGUUUUCACUUUUCUACAUUCAAAAGUCGGUUUUGCCCAUUUGAUUCACGCGUUGAUUAUCGCUGGGUUCUCUCUUUCGACUGGGUUGCUUGCUUUACCUUCCACUUUCACUUUUCGUGUUCAUCAUCUUUCAUUUUCCCUUUCCUCUUCUUUUCUCCUCUCUCUCCGCGUCUGUAUUUGCCUUUUUCCAUCUCUCUAUCUCACUAAAAGCCAAUUGAGCUUGGCACUGUUCAGCAAUAGUAAAAGGAUGGAGAUGCCCCUGAUUUCUUCUCUGCUUGUUGUGCUGUUUUCACUUUUCUACAGUCAAAAGUCGGUUUUGCCCAUUUGAUCCCCGCGUUGAUCAUCGCUGGGUUCUCUCUUUCGAUUGGGUUGCUUGCUUUACCUUCCACUUUCACUUUUCGUGUUCAGUAUCUUUCAUUUUCCCUUUCCUCUUCUUUUCUCCUCUCUCCGUGUCUGUAUUUGCCUUUUGCCAUCUCUCUAUCUCUUUUGUUUCAAUUCCCAUGAUCAGUAUUGGCAGUCGCAAGGAUGCGGUGGAUCUGCAGGGAUUUCUGGGUUUUUUUAGCUUUUGAGUGUUGGGGAUUUCUGUCCCUUUCGAACUAGCCCUCCCUCGCUCUCAAUUUCCUCCCCUUCACCGAUCAUUUGAAACCAAUGAUACUCAGAGUUCCCCAUCACCAAACUCCAUUCGAAAACCUUCUGGAGCGACUUCUCCUCACCAAGCAGCCACUGUGCUCCAAAUCUUUCCAAUUGAAAUUCCUCUUCUUCACCCUUCCAUGUUGAAUUUCACAUCAACAUUGGAUUCGAGUUUUCCGACGAUAAUCCAACGAUUCCGGCGACGCCCACCAUCAAGGUUAGUCUAAAAGGAUUUCUUAUCUUAUAGUUGUAUUGCAUGUUUAAAUCUGUUUCGAAUUUGUGAUUUAAUAAAAUUAGGCUUUAGAAAAAAAUUCAUGAUUUUGUCUAAUUGAAUUUAAGGAUUAAAUUUUUUUUUUUCAUUAAUGUUCUGGGUUUGUUGGGGGGAGGGGGGUUUUGAAUGUGAUGUACAGAACUUGGUUGCAUGGACUACACCCCAGAGAUUAGCCACGGGUGCUGGUUGAAUUGGCCAAACACGAGAAGACAAAGUCUGUUCAUGAUACUUUGAGCAUCCAGAUAAAGCUUUGGAUGCUUUAGCAAUUGAGGACAAGAAAAGGCAAUAUGCUGCUGUGGAGAACUAUCUAGAAGAUGUAUUGCAUUCAGCUCUAGCCACUUCAGACUUUCUUCCUUGCUUUCAAAAUUAGGACUUAACAUCUGUGAAGCACAUGUCUUCUCGACAACCAAUGGCUACUCUUUAGAUGUAUUUGUGGUGGAUGGAUGAAUGGUUUGUUGAGGGUGAGAAAGGGAUCACCGAUUUGAAAUCAGCACUUCAAGUAAACAUAUGAAAGAGAUUUUUUUUGCACAAAGUUGAAAAGGAUUUAGCAGCUGCGACGGACUAAUUUUUGGAAACGUAGACGAGCAUAUUCACCUAGGUGCUUGCUAGUACGUACUCCUCCUUUCAACCACGACGACGAGCAGAACCAACAUGACUACCAGUCUAUCAUCGGAAACAUCCCAAAAACAUGUCUCGCCAUCCGAUUCCGAUCGACGAACGAGUUCGUAAUGCAUGCCGCAACUGGCGUAACGCGUUCCAGCCCAAUCACCACAAUCCGGAGCCAACUUUUCCACCAUAUCCCGGCCUGUAGCAUAAAACUUUCGAAGAGAAGCGCCGGAGGCAGCAGCAAGUGAUCCGAAAUUGUUCCGAGAAGAACAGAACGAUCGCGACUGGAGGAAAAGUAGAGAUCACUUGCGUAGCAAGAAACGCGAUCGGUAAGUGAUCCGAACGCUAGAGAUAAGAUCAUGAGACACAGAUCGGAAAGCACUCACGGCUCAAAGAGAGGAAGAUCGACCGAAAACUAGUACAAAGCCAGGUUUAAAUAGUAUCCGAGACGUCCUUAGCAAAAAUAGGAAGGCUAGAAGAAAAUAUAUUAGUGUUGCUUGGGAAUGUUUGGAAAUCCAAUUAGGAUGAGGGAUAUUAAACUAAACAUCUUAUGCACUUCUAAAUUUUAAAAUUAGAAUGUAACUACUAUAGGGGCUGAAGAGCAUCUUCAAUGGGAGUCCCUAAAUAGGGACUCCUAUCACCAACUUUGAAGACUCAUUUAGGGACUUUUAAGGAAAUAUUCAGGUCGGCGAAGAAA